rnacentral:misc_RNA from 1 species
AACGCACAUUGCGCCCCUUGGUACUCCAUGGGGCAUGCCUGUUCGAGCGUCAUCUAAACCCUCAAGCCUUUUGGGUGUUGUCCCGCCUUUGCGCGGUGCUCCGCCCGGUUUGGUGUUGGGCGUCUGUCCCGCCGCGCGCGCGGACUCGCCCCAAAUCCAUUGGCAGCGGUCCUUCAGCUUCUUGCGCAGCACAAUGCGUCUUGGGGCAUAGCAAGGGCACGCGUCCACUAAGCAACCCACAGUUUGACCUCGGAUCAGGUAGGGAUACCCGCUGAACUUAA